AUUAGAUUUGUGCCAAUAGGAUCAAGAAAAACACUUUGGAGAGCAAACAAAUUUUAAGACAUUGAGAGAAAAAACAUUGGUUUCAAAAGAAAAACUUACGAUCUGAAUCAGAUUCUUAAAAUGAUCAAGAAAAACACUUUGACGGUCAAACAAAAAUUAAGAAAUUGACAGAACAAAAAUAUUGACUAAAGGAAAAAAACAUAUUUCAAAAGUAAAACUUACUAUCUGAAUCAACUUCUUAAAAUGAGUAACAAAGUAUGUUUCCUUUUUCUGUUUGCCUCUAUGUGUUUUUGUUAUCAAUUUCCUUAGUUUUGUUCUCGCUGCUCAGAGCUUUGCUCUCACUACCAGAUUUGCACUUACACUGUCUGGCUUUCUCCUUUGCAAUCCCUGAGUUUUUGGUUGCAAUUCUGACACAACCCUUUCGGGUGGGCGGGACUUCUGAGAAGUCCUCUCCCAUAGGACAGUGGUUUCUCUUGAGUGACAGUUCAGUGACCUGGAAGUGAUGUAGCCUCCAAGACAUUUUUUUCCCACCUGGUCAACAACAUGAAUUUUGAGCCCCAAACAGGUUAUUUCUGCUGUCUGUGGUGUCUACUGAGGAUCUAAAGAACCUGUGGAACAUCAGAGACUUUGCAGCUACUGGAGCUAACCUGUGUACUGCUAACUUGCUACAGAGGAAGCAGCAGAAAGCUGAGCUAACAGGCUGUUUUGCAGUGAAACGAAUGGAUUUUAUGAUGUAACUCUGACUGAAUAAUUAUCUAAAUUGAAAACUGCUGCAUUGCAUUACAAUGGAAGUGCUACACAGCCACAUGCAUCAACAGCAGCUGGUGAGCUAA